UUCGAUAAGUACUUUCAAGAUAUGGUUCACUCUAACCUAUACCUGUCAAAAGUUAUACGUAGUUUCCCUGACUGUAUUUGCUUCAUGAAAUAAGCGAUUCAUCCUUCAGUUUGCUCUUACUUGGACAUCUGUAAAUGUAUGGAGAAAUAGUCGAAUUGUCAAUUUUAUCGGUUUUUACAAUUUUAUUGAACCGUUUACGUAACAACUUAUUUUCAUGAUAAGUACAUUUCCUCGCUAAAAAAUUGAAAAGUAUUCGUGAUUUCCAGUAAAAAGAGUGGUCGAUCAUGCAAAUAUAUGGAAAAAUAAUGGAAAUAAUGAUUUUUUCAAUUUUUUACUAUUUUAUUGCGUCAUAUAUAGAUCAACUUAUUUUUCAUGAUAAGCACCUUCCCUCGUUAAAAAAUUGGAAAGUAUUCGUGAUUUCCAGUAAAAAGAGUGGUCGAUCAUGCAAAUAUGUAUAUGGAAAAAUAGUGGAAAUAAUGAUUUUUUCAGUUUUUUACUAUUUUAUUGCGUCAUAUUUAGAACAACUUAUUUUUCACGAUAAGCACCUUCCCUCGUUAACAAAUUGGAAAGUACUUGUGAUUUUCGGUAAAAAAAGGGGUUGAUCAUGAAAAUGCGUGGAAAAAUAGCACCUUCCCACGUUAACAAAUUGGAAAGUACUCGUGAUUUUCGGUAAAAAAGGGGUUGAUCGUGAAAAUGCAUGGAAAAAUAGUGGAAUCAUCGGUUCCUAUUGAUUUCUACAGUUAUAUCGCGUCAGCUGCAUAACGCGUUACGUUUUGUCAUGUGCUACGUGUUUCGCUAGAAAAUUUUGGAGUACUGGAGAUUACCAACAAAAAUAAAUGUUAACAGGCACAAUAUAUUGUCGGACUACAUGAUUUAUUCAGACGUUGAUGAGGAAAUUACAACCAAAAAACUACGGAGUAGAAAAGUUGAAAAGUUACAUUAAACAAAUUAAACACUACGGAAUGAAAUAAUAUGACAAAUGAGCAAAACGUACUCUGAAAACAGAUGCAAUUACUUUCUCGCGGGAUAUAUAAGGAAAUAUGAUUAAGCAUUUAUUCAGAAUGGAAUAUUUCAAUACAACUGUUCAACUCGUUUGAGACAAAUUCAAGACUUCUAAACACUAUACAAGCGCUAUUAAAAAGAUACAAGUGAAUAGUGAAAUAGAAAUUCUGUUUCAAACUAUUUUUUUUAUAAAUGAUUACUUGGUAAAACUAUUUAUUUGAAAGUAGAAGAAAAC